UACGUAGGGUGCAAGCGUUGUCCGGAAUUAUUGGGCGUAAAGAGCUUGUAGGCGGUUUGUCGCGUCUGCUGUGAAAUUUCGGGGCUCAACCCCGAACUUGCAGUGGGUACGGGCAGACUAGAGUGUGGUAGGGGAGACUGGAAUUCCUGGUGUAGCGGUGAAAUGCGUAGAUAUCUGGAGGAACACCGGUGGCGAAGGCGGCAUCCUGGACCGACACUGACGCUGAGGAGCGAAAGCCAGGGGAGCAAACGGG
rnacentral:rRNA from 1 species